rnacentral:rRNA from 1 species
CAGUCGCCGCGGUAACACGUAGGGUGCAAGCGUUAAUCGGAAUUACUGGGCGUAAAGCGUGCGCAGGCGGUUAUAUAAGACAGAUGUGAAAUCCCCGGGCUCAACCUGGGAACUGCAUUUGUGACUGUAUAGCUAGAGUACGGCAGAGGGGGAUGGAAUUCCGCGUGUAGCAGUGAAAUGCGUAGAUAUGCGGAGGAACACCGAUGGCGAAGGCAAUCCCCUGGGCCUGUACUGACGCUCAUGCACGAAAGCGUGGGGAGCAAACAGGAUUAGAUACCCCAGUAGUCCCUGUCUCUUAUAA